rnacentral:lncRNA from 1 species
GAAGAUUUAGUUGAAACAUGUUUAGGAGAAGGUUGUGGUGACGAUGAUGGUGUUAUAGUUGCAGCCACAACACGGUUUUUGCGGUCUUUUCUCGAAGGUAAAUCUUUGUAAGGGUAACGGACAAGUGUUUUCCUGUGAAAUCCAAAAGCUUUCCUAUCAAAAGGUAGAAAACGAAAUUGAAGCCAUUGCCAAAACAUGCUCUAAAAUAAAGAUCAAAAUAUAGUAAGUUACAGUAUAUAGUUUAUAAGCAUGAUUAAGUGUCGGUUACAAAUUGUGAAAUAAAUUUGUAGAUCUCUACCAACCCCGUUGGCCGUUGGGACUUUGAUGCUAUAGAUGAGUUCUAUAAAGGUGAUAUGCCAGAUUGGCCAUCGAAUGAUGAUAAGUUACAGUUCUAUGAGGUGAGGUGUUACUUUGACUCAUCUUCUUUGAUGAUAAGUUUCAAUUUCUUUUGAUUCAUCUUCUAUGAGCUCGAGGUGAUCUGUUUUGACUUGUCUUUCUUCAACUAACUUUAGAUGUUUAAAAAUGUAUAGGUGAAUGAAUCAGAGUUGCGAGACAAUGAAUGGCUUCAUCUAUAUGCUGAAGUUGCAUUGUUCUCCGAGUGGGAAUCUGACAUGGUGAGGAUAUUAAAAGCAUAUAGAUAUGUGAGCUUAGGACAUUCUUUUCUCAAGUCGAGCAAUGCAAUCUUCUACAUGAGUUUCAAGGUUCGUGAAGGUCCCGAUUGCAGAGGUAUAAUAAGAAAAACAAGUGAUGGAAGAACAGGACAUAUGCGCCUUGAAGCUAGAUGUUGGAUCGACAAGUAAAUACGAUGGUGGCUAGUAUUUCGAUAUUUUGUGGAUUAUCUUGCAAUGUUUAAGUAAUUUACGGCAUGAUUCAUUUAUUUAUGCAUGGUAAUAAUAUAGUUACUUAACUUGAAGAGGACAAGAAACUUGGAUUUUACUAGAUAACUACAAAAGACACGUAUAAAACUCAGCUUUUGUUGGUGAAUGGCUCUCUUCUUACGCCGUAGACAAGACCUCCAAUUCUGGCCACCAAAGAGGUGAGAACUUAGACGUUGCAUCGUUAGCCGUGAUUUCCCAUAACCAACCGUGACUUCUUGCAUUCUCGAUCUUCUUAUUAUAAGAUUCUAGUGUUGGCCAGAGUGUCUCUCCUAUUAAAAAAUCAACCAGGCCCCUAUCUACCGAGUCGAGUUUGUUAACCGAUUCCGGGAGUUUCCCGGUUAUCAUUUCAAAUAAUAAUAAACCAUUUUUGUCAAUUAGGCCUGUGAGCUUUUCUUUUAAAAAAAAAAAAUAGUGAUUUUGAAUUUGGAUUUAAAUAUUGACUCAUAAAUCUUAAUUGAACCGGGUUGUGACAUGCUUAACCCGGACUCGGUUAUAUGGGCGAUUCCCGUUUGAACCGGUCGGUGUUAAAUCACUAUUCAUUUGUCUUAACCAUCAUUGAUUGAUUUGGGGUUAAAAAGGAAAUUGGGGUCUAUUUACAUUAAACCUAAAAAAAAAUCAAUUGGGAAUAGACAAACCCUUGUCGGCUUGUCGUGUCCGUCCAGCAAAACUUAUCAGACUCUCCCAAUCAGUUUGGAAGUAGAAGACGACUGUUCACCGGAAAGAUGUAUGAUGUGAUGUUGGAUGAAGCGAACUUGUGGUUUCACGAAUACGAACCUCCUCUCCGUAGGCGGAAGAUCGAAGAAGCUCCACCUUCACCUGUGGAAGACCUUUAUUUCUCCGACGAAGAAGACAUGAGUCCCGAGGAACGCGAAAAGUAUCGUCUUCAAGUUGUUGAGUCCUGUGUAAUUCUCUUUUAACUCUUUUCAAGUUUUGACGCUUACAAGAUUUGUGCUUUCGUAUCAUACAAUUGAUUUUUGGAUUUUGGUAAUUAGGGAUUCGAUGUUGAUUUCUUCAAGCAUACGUUUAAUGGGAUAAUGCCAAGUGGAUGUUGUCCCUAUGACACACUCUUCGCAAAGGCAGGACUCCAUUGUUACAAUCUUGAAAAGGUUUACUCUUUUCUUUUCUCUUUGAUAUUACUCUCUCCUCCUUGUGAGCUACUAUUGUAGAAUGUUGAUAUUCGUCACUGGUCAUUGUUUCUACCUUGUAGGGGAAGAACUUACAGUUCAAGACUGUAGUAAAAGUUAACGCCGAAAUCGGUUCCCUUUACAAUUCCUAUUCAACAUCUGAGGUGAUGGAUCCGGUUAACAACUCUCUUCACACUUUCCAAACUUUAGUCACGGAUGCAGGGAAGAUGAACAAAGCGCGCUUGAUACUUGUCACAAAAAUAUGCAGACUUAAGCCUCAAGUACCAGGUGUGGAAAGACUUUCAUGACUUGGUUUGUAAUUUGUCAUUAACGUUGCCAUGAAGAUUAUCAUACGCUUGUAAAACAUGGUUAAUCAUUUGGACAUGUUUUAGGCAUUGGAGAUGCAAAUGGCCGUUGGGACUUUGAUGCUAUAGAUGAUUUCUAUAAAGGUGAUAUGCCAGAUUGGCCACCGAAUGGUGCAUGUACUAAAGGUGAUAAGCUACUACAGUUCUAUGAGGUGAGGUGUUAGUUUUUUACUCAUUUAAUACAUAAUGUAAUCCAUCUUUAGUGUUUUUGCUUGUAUACAAGAUUAUCUUUUUUUCCAACUAAUUUUAGAUGUUUAAAACUGCAGGUGAAGGAAUCAGAGUUGCGAGACAAUGAAUGGAUUUCUCUAUAUGCUGAAGCUGCAUUGUUCUCCGAGUGGCACUCUGACAUGGUGAGGAUAUAAUAGCAUAUAGAUAUGUGAACAUAGGACAUCCAUUUCUCAAAAAACCUUUUUUUAAUUUGCAGAGUGCUUAUACACCAUUUGAGAUGAAGAAAGUAGUGGUACAAACAAAAGAAGAUGUAGACUCGAGUAUGAAGCUCAAGUCGAGCAAUGCAAUCUUCUACAUGACUUUCAAGGUUCGUGAAGGUCCCGAUUGCAGAGGGAUAGUAAGAAAAACAAGUGAUGGAAGAACAGGACAUAUGCGCCUUGAAGCUAGAUGUUGGAUCGACAAGUAAAGCUGAUAAUGACCAGUAAUCUGAUUUUGUGUGGUCUUUUUUUUAUGUAUUGAUCUUGCUAUGUUUAAAUGGUAUCUAUCUAUGGCAGAAGUAGCAAAGUUCGCACUACUUGUUUCCCUCUGGAUUUUUUUUUAUAAUUAAAAUGCUCUAUUUAAGAUGUGCGCUUUUAUCAACUAUCUUAUAUCUUGUUUCAAGGAAAUUACUUUGAUGUGCAAACACUUGAUGCGAUGAGAUAAACUAAAAGUGUUUUGCAAACGAUGCAGACAGUUGUUAGUAGCAAAAGACAAAAUCAAACUCUUGUUUUCACUUCACAAACACAGACUCAGUUGAGUUUACUAGCUCCAUGCCUUUUCUUCCGCCUCUCUUCCUCUUCCCGUGAGAGUAAUCUCGGAUAGCUGAAUCUUCUGAGCAAUGGACUUGGUUCAGCAAAGUAGGUAUUCGCCUUAGUGUUAAUCUCUUCACCCGGAGUGGGUACAUAAACAAGCAUAAUAUCUAUUGAGAUCUUCAUGUAACCGUUUUUUCCAAACUUAUCGCCAUGACUUGAUCUCGCCACUACGUAUUUUUCCCCAUUCUCCUCAUCUGCUGCUACUAGUGAAACGGCAUGCAGUCCAACGAGCCUUGACCUUUGAAGUACAGGCCCUCGAUAGAUCUUCAAACAAAAAACCAAACCAAUAUUAGCUUGCAUGAUAAAUUUAACACUGCAAAACAACGCAUAACUUACAUUUUCUCCAAUUUCAUUGUACUCUGGGAAAAACAUUGCCACAGCAGCUCCGAUGGGUUGGUGCUUAAGUUGGAGAAGCGCUUCCUCGAUUGUAUCUAUUCUCUUGAAGUCUUUGAUGUACCCUAAUCCCGAUAAGACACGAUCAGGAAUAUAUUGAGGACAUCCCGUGAAUGGUCUAUCUUCUUCUCUUUGAAUCCCAUUUUCCAUUACGUAACGCAUUCCUCUGUUGAUGCUUGAGGUGUAGCAGUAGUGACCGUCAUUGCGAACUUGUCUUCGCUGCACCGGAUCUGUAAAAUCAAUCAAAUCUUGCACAGAGUACUCUAUGUUAGGAUCUGUGUCACGACCGUUAAUCAAUCUCACUGCCCUUAUAAGAUCUCUUGCAACGACAGCCCAGCAAAUAUCUGAAAACAUACGAAAACAAACUUCGUUAACUAAAUUUUUUGUUAAGAAAAAUGUUAUAUGUUUUGUUCUUACCGUGAUCUAGUUGGUUUGCCACUAUCCCCAUAAUGAUUGCCCAAUCCACAUCAUCUAAGCAAACGGGAAAGAUCUGUACCUCAAAACAAAUAAGAAUUAUAAACAUAAAUUCAUCUAAAUUUCAUUACUAUUAACAAACGUACGAUAAAAUCUUAUACCCUGCGUUUGAUAUACGAUGCAAAUCUCACAUGCUUGAUAUCUCCACUUGAAUCGUCAAUGUAUUCGGUGACUUUAACUUUGGAAUCAGGUUUAGUUCUCAUUAUGCUUAAUAAAAUAUCAUGCGGAACGAUACGAAAGACCUCAGCCACUAAUGGUUGAAGUUGUGGGUCAGUCAAUGCUAAAAUCUGCUCAAAUAUGGGUAACAUUUCGUCAGGAACAGCAGCAAGCACCUGAAAAACAUCACAUUCGAAAUCCAAGAUUAAGAAUAAAACCGUGAAAGAUUAAGUGAGAUUUUAUACAGACAAUCAAGACCAGAAACAAAGACCAAACAUAUCUAACUAACUAUGUCUCUUCCAUUACCAAAGUAAACUUAACUACACCACAAAAAUCAACUUUUAUUAUCAUAUACUUACUACAUCACAUUCGAAAUCCAAGAUUUAGAAUGAACCCGUGAAAGAUUAAGUGAGAUUUUAUACAGACAAUUAAGAGCAGAAGCAAAGACCAAACAUAUCUAACUAUGUCUCUUUCAUCACCAAAGUAAACUUAAUUACACAACAAAAAUCAACUUUUUAUUAUCAUAUACUUACUUCUGCAGGUGUAGUGUCUGAGCUCUCACCUCUUUGUGCCAUAUUUGAAGUUAGGAUCUGCAUUUUAAAUUUUAGCAAAAACUUAGCAGACAAGUUUCAAAAAGACAAACAGAGUAAACCAACAGUUUCCAUUUAAGAAGUAAUACAAAAAAAAAACUAAGGACUACUUGUAGACAUAUAUAGAACAACAUAACAGAAAUGAACAAGGUAAGUUUCUUACUAGCCAGAAAGGCAGAAACCACUAGAAUCUUGUAACUUAAUUUCUCUGUUCUCCAAAACUCUCUUCCUUUUAAACGUCAAAAGUGAGAUAAAAUGUUUCUGUGUUCUAACUCUAGAGGGAAACUUGUCACUAUAAAGAUUGCAGAGUUACAUAAUGUCUUUACGCUAUAAAUUUUUCCUUCUAGUUAUCUGCACCCAUUGAACACAACAUUGACCAUUAACACUAAUAUGGGGAGAUAUACAAUAUCUACUCAUCUUACUUCUGAAUCCACUCCUUACUAAAUAUAGAAAUUUCAGAAGCAACUUUAACUUUUUGACCCAUCACAGUUAAUUAUUUCGUUCGUAAAUGUUUUUACUCUCCUUAUUUUUAUUGGAUGUCAAUUUUUUUUUUCCUUUAGCCUUUCGCUCCACAAUCAACUGAUUCAAAAGGAAAAGAAAAAAAAAAAAAGUAUUUGCCAAGUUAUUCACGAAUAAAAUAUCUCUUCAAGCAUGAAUAAAAUAUUUUUGCACACUUAUAUUCUUAAAGUAUUUGGCAAUUUCUCCUCUAUCAUUUUGCUACAUAAUAACACUGAACAAAAGAAUGCAUUCAUAUAGAAGAAGAAGGAUAUAAUUUUUACAAGAUUGUUUCCGACAUGCACACUAAUUCAUCUAUACAUGUUUAUAGAGUUACUUAACUUGAGAGAACUUCAAUUUUGUUUUACCAAUAUUACUAGAGAUAACUAGAAAAGACACUUACAAAACUAACAUCUUCAAAAUAUAUACAGUUUUAUUGGUGAAGGGCCUCUCUUAAGCCGUGGACAAAACCUCCAACUCUGCCCACCAAAGAGGUGACAAUUUCGGCGUAGCAUCAUUCGGUGAUAUUCCCGUGAUCUCCCGUAACCAUCCUGUGACUUCCCGCAUUGUAGGUCUCUCUUUCGGGUCGGUCCUGAGGCAUGAUUUGAUCACUUCACCUAUAUUCUCAAUCUUGUCAUCAUAAGAUUCCAGUGUUGGAUCUACCAUCUUGGCUAGAGUCUCUCCUCUUAAGAAAUCAACCAGCGCGCUAUCUACCGAGUCAGGUUUGUUAACCGAUUCUGGGAGUUUCCCGCUUAUCAUUUCGAAUAAUAGUAAACCGAAGCUGUAAACGUUUUCUUCUGGAUUCAAGACUGAGAUGUUUGUGUCUAUGACUGUGUCGUUGAUGCUAGUCUCUGUCUCAGAUGGACCGAAACUGAAAUCCGAUACUUUGACAGCAUAAUCCUCUGUGAGCUGAAGAGAUGACGAGACGAGAUUGGUGUGAGCUAUAGGUGGAUUGAGUUGGUGCAUAUGGUCAAGGCAAUAUGCUAAUCCCAUUGCAAUUCUUAACCGCAUUCCCCAAUCCAAGUGUUCUGAUUCUUUAACUGUAAUAAAAAAAAUAUGUUUUGAUUCCCUUUAGAUCACAAAGAAAACAAGCCAACAUGUGACAUUGUGUAGCUAGCUUAUGACAAAAGUACUCACAGUGUAAAUGCUCAAAGAGUGAUCCAUUUGGAGCAUACUCAAAGAUCAAGAUCCUAGUGAAAGGUUCCUUUUCUUCACAAUACCCAAGAAGGUUUGCAAAAUUCUUGUGGUUGAUCUUCGAUAACAUUUCGAUCUGAAAUUGUGAAACAGAACACGCUAAAGUCGACUAUAUAUUGUUAUUAUAAGAAAUCAAAAAUGGGAAGAACCAUACCUUCUUCCUAAAGUGAAUUUCUGUAUUGUCCUUCCAGUCUUUGGCAGAGGUAGUAGCAAAAGAAGCAACAGCAAUCUCCACUCCACUUGAUAAUGUUCCUUUGAACAAUUUCCCAAUGGGGCAAGAUCCAAUGACAUUACUAAAAUCUUCACAUGCAGCUUCAAUCUCAGAUCUUUUAAGUACAGGUAUACCUGAGUAUCAAAAAAUCAAACAUUGAUGAAACCAAAACAUAUUAUGCCAUGUAACAAUUUAAGAAAGAAAAUUACCAGUUACGAAUACUUUCUGAAGUUGUCCGCUAAGACCAGUACGCCAAGGAUUCACAGUUUUCCCGGCCUUACUAGUGAAACAGUAGACACCGGUAACUACAAGAAGAAGAAAAAAGGCACCGCCUACGCAGCCAAUCACUAAAGGAACGGCCACUGAAGAAGAAUGAGCGUUUCUUGGAGUGGGAGGAUUUACAAGUGACACAGAAGGAGAAGGUGAAACAUUUUGUGUAGAUGAUCUCAUUUGUGGCUCCGGAACUGUUGAAGAUCUAGUUGAAACAUGUUUAGGAGAAGGUUUUGGGGAUGAUGAUGGUGUUACAGUUGCAGCCACAACGCGGUUUCUGCGGUCUUUUCUCGAAGGCAAAUCUUUGUUAGGGUAACGGACAAGUGUUUUCCUGUGAAAUCCAAAAGCUUUCCUAACAAAAGGUAGAAAAAUAAAUUAUAGCCAUUGCAAAAGCAUGCUCUAAAAUAAAGAUCAAAAUACGGUAAGUUAUAUAUAGUUUACAAGCAUGAAUAAGUGUCGGUUACAAGUAACAACAGUUUCUUCUACCAUACAUAGAUAGAGAAAAUGAAGCUACGGAAUGGUUAGAGAAAUUUGUAGAUCUACCAACCC